UCUGGACAUCGAAAAUUAUUUCUAGAUGAUAACUUUGAUUAGUACAGAAAAUGAUUUCUGUGCUACCGACUUAGUGUUUGAACAUAUGGAGGCAACGUAGGAAAAAUUGAUCUAAAUCUAUGAGUUCAAUUUGAAAGUACGUGACUUGAUUGAAUGAAUAGAUUAGCUUAAUUAAGAAUUAAGUUAAAGAUCAUAUGGGAUUAAACAA
rnacentral:lncRNA from 1 species